rnacentral:rRNA from 1 species
GACGAACGCUGGCGGCGUGCUUAACACAUGCAAGUCGAACGGUGACGAGGAGCUUGCUCCUCUGAUCAGUGGCGAACGGGUGAGUAACACGUGAGCAACCUGCCCCAGACUCUGGGAUAACAGUUGGAAACAGCUGCUAAUACCGGAUACGAGACGGAGAGGCAUCUCUACCGUCUGGAAAGUUUUUCGGUCUGGGAUGGACUCGCGGCCUAUCAGCUAGUUGGUGAGGUAACGGCUCACCAAGGCUAAGACGGGUAGCCGGCCUGAGAGGGUGUACGGCCACACUGGAAUUGAGAUACGGUCCAGACUCCUACGGGAGGCAGCAGUGGGGAAUCUUGGGCAAUGGGCGAAAGCCUGACCCAGCGACGCCGCGUUGGGGAUGAAGCCCUUCGGGGCGUAAACCCAUGUUGUAGGGGACGAAGAAAGUGACGGUACCCUACGAGAAAGCCCCGGCCAACUACGUG